rnacentral:rRNA from 1 species
CCUACGGGUGGCAGCAGUGGGGAAUAUUGCACAAUGGGCGCAGGCCUGAUGCAGCCAUGCCGCGUGUGUGAAGAAGGCCUUCGGGUUGUAAAGCACUUUCAGCGGGGAGGAAGGCGUUAAGGUUAAUAACCUUGUCGAUUGACGUUACCCGCAGAAGAAGCACCGGCUAACUCCGUGCCAGCAGCCGCGGUAAUACGGAGGGUGCAAGCGUUAAUCGGAAUUACUGGGCGUAAAGCGCACGCAGGCGGUCUGUCAAGUCGGAUGUGAAAUCCCCGGGCUCAACCUGGGAACUGCAUUCGAAACUGGCAGGCUAGAGUCUUGUAGAGGGGGGUAGAAUUCCAGGUGUAGCGGUGAAAUGCGUAGAGAUCUGGAGGAAUACCGGUGGCGAAGGCGGCCCCCUGGACAAAGACUGACGCUCAGGUGCGAAAGCGUGGGGAGCAAACAGGAUUAGAUACCCGAGUAGUC